rnacentral:rRNA from 1 species
GGGUUGUGAGGUUAAGCGACUAAGCGUACACGGUGGAUGCCCUGGCAGUCAGAGGCGAUGAAGGGCGUGCUAAUCUGCGAUAAGCGCCGGUAAGGUGAUAUGAACCGUUAUAACCGGCGAUACCCGAAUGGGGAAACCCAGUGUGACUCGUCACACUAUCAUUAACUGAAUCCAUAGGUUAAUGAGGCGAACCGGGGGAACUGAAACAUCUAAGUACCCCGAGGAAAAGAAAUCAACCGAGAUUCCCCCAGUAGCGGCGAGCGAACGGGGAGGAGCCCAGAGCCUGAAUCAGCAUGUGUGUUAGUGGAAGCGUCUGGAAAGGCGCGCGAUACAGGGUGACAGCCCCGUACACAAAAGCGCAUGUGCUGUGAGCUCGAUGAGUAGGGCGGGACACGUGGUAUCCUGUCUGAAUAUGGGGGGACCAUCCUCCAAGGCUAAAUACUCCUGACUGACCGAUAGUGAACCAGUACCGUGAGGGAAAGGCGAAAAGAACCCCGGCGAGGGGAGUGAAAAAGAACCUGAAACCGUGUACGUACAAGCAGUGGGAGCACCCUUUGGGGUGUGACUGCGUACCUUUUGUAUAAUGGGUCAGCGACUUAUAUUCUGUAGCAAGGUUAACCGAAUAGGGGAGCCGGAGGGAAACCGAGUCUUAAUUGGGCGUUAAGUUGCAGGGUAUAGACCCGAAACCCGGUGAUCUAGCCAUGGGCAGGUUGAAGGUUGGGUAACACUAACUGGAGGACCGAACCGACUAAUGUUGAAAAAUUAGCGGAUGACCUGUGGCUGGGGGUGAAAGGCCAAUCAAACCGGGAGAUAGCUGGUUCUCCCCGAAAGCUAUUUAGGUAGCGCCUCGUGAAUUCAUCUCCGGGGGUAGAGCACUGUUUCGGCUAGGGGGCCAUCCCGGCUUACCAACCCGAUGCAAACUGCGAAUACCGGAGAAUGUUAUCACGGGAGACACACGGCGGGUGCUAACGUCCGUCGUGAAGAGGGAAACAACCCAGACCGCCAGCUAAGGUCCCAAAGUCAUGGUUAAGUGGGAAACGAUGUGGGAAGGCCCAGACAGCCAGGAUGUUGGCUUAGAAGCAGCCAUCAUUUAAAGAAAGCGUAAUAGCUCACUGGUCGAGUCGGCCUGCGCGGAAGAUGUAACGGGGCUAAACCAUGCACCGAAGCUGCGGCAGCGAACGUAUCACCCAAGACAACUUUACGGAGUUGACGAUUGACGGAGCGAAGCGACGUCAAAGCGUUCAUUAAAGUCGAGUUGGCUUAGGGAUACGUUCGUUGGGUAGGGGAGCGUUCUGUAAGCCUGUGAAGGUGGCCUGUGAGGGUUGCUGGAGGUAUCAGAAGUGCGAAUGCUGACAUAAGUAACGAUAAAGCGGGUGAAAAGCCCGCUCGCCGGAAGACCAAGGGUUCCUGUCCAACGUUAAUCGGGGCAGGGUGAGUCGACCCCUAAGGCGAGGCCGAAAGGCGUAGUCGAUGGGAAACGGGUUAAUAUUCCCGUACUUGGUGUUACUGCGAAGGGGGGACGGAGAAGGCUAUGUUGGCCGGGCGACGGUUGUCCCGGUUUAAGCGUGUAGGUGUGUGUUCCAGGUAAAUCCGGUUCACUUUAACACUGAGGCGUGACGACGAGGCACUACGGUGCUGAAGCAACAAAUGCCCUGCUUCCAGGAAAAGCCUCUAAGCAUCAGGUAACAUCAAAUCGUACCCCAAACCGACACAGGUGGUCAGGUAGAGAAUACCAAGGCGCUUGAGAGAACUCGGGUGAAGGAACUAGGCAAAAUGGUGCCGUAACUUCGGGAGAAGGCACGCUGACACGUAGGUGAAGUGAUUUACUCAUGGAGCUGAAGUCAGUCGAAGAUACCAGCUGGCUGCAACUGUUUAUUAAAAACACAGCACUGUGCAAACACGAAAGUGGACGUAUACGGUGUGACGCCUGCCCGGUGCCGGAAGGUUAAUUGAUGGGGUCAGCGCAAGCGAAGCUCCUGAUCGAAGCCCCGGUAAACGGCGGCCGUAACUAUAACGGUCCUAAGGUAGCGAAAUUCCUUGUCGGGUAAGUUCCGACCUGCACGAAUGGCGUAAUGAUGGCCAGGCUGUCUCCACCCGAGACUCAGUGAAAUUGAACUCGCUGUGAAGAUGCAGUGUACCCGCGGCAAGACGGAAAGACCCCGUGAACCUUUACUAUAGCUUGACACUGAACAUUGAGCCUUGAUGUGUAGGAUAGGUGGGAGGCUUUGAAGUGUGGACGCCAGUCUGCAUGGAGCCGACCUUGAAAUACCACCCUUUAAUGUUUGAUGUUCUAACGUGGACCCGUAAUCCGGGUUGCGGACAGUGUCUGGUGGGUAGUUUGACUGGGGCGGUCUCCUCCUAAAGAGUAACGGAGGAGCACGAAGGUUGGCUAAUCCUGGUCGGACAUCAGGAGGUUAGUGCAAUGGCAUAAGCCAGCUUGACUGCGAGCGUGACGGCGCGAGCAGGUGCGAAAGCAGGUCAUAGUGAUCCGGUGGUUCUGAAUGGAAGGGCCAUCGCUCAACGGAUAAAAGGUACUCCGGGGAUAACAGGCUGAUACCGCCCAAGAGUUCAUAUCGACGGCGGUGUUUGGCACCUCGAUGUCGGCUCAUCACAUCCUGGGGCUGAAGUAGGUCCCAAGGGUAUGGCUGUUCGCCAUUUAAAGUGGUACGCGAGCUGGGUUUAGAACGUCGUGAGACAGUUCGGUCCCUAUCUGCCGUGGGCGCUGGAGAACUGAGGGGGGCUGCUCCUAGUACGAGAGGACCGGAGUGGACGCAUCACUGGUGUUCGGGUUGUCAUGCCAAUGGCACUGCCCGGUAGCUAAAUGCGGAAGAGAUAAGUGCUGAAAGCAUCUAAGCACGAAACUUGCCCCGAGAUGAGUUCUCCCUGAGACUUAGAGUCUCCUGAAGGAACGUUGAAGACGACGACGUUGAUAGGCCGGGUGUGUAAGCGCAGCGAUGCGUUGAGCUAACCGGUACUAAUGAACCGUGAGGCUUAACCUUACAACGCCGAAG